rnacentral:rRNA from 1 species
UGCGUAGGCGGACCAGCAAGUGCUUUGUGAAAGCCCCCGGCUCAACCGGGGAACAGCGGGGCAUACUGCUGGUCUUGAGGAAGGUAGGGGUUGCCAGAACUGUAGGUGGAGCGGUGAAAUGCGUAGAUAUCUACAGGAAUGCCGAUGGUGAAGACGGGCAACUGGGCCUUUCCUGACGCUGAGGCACGAAAGCGUGGGGAGCAAACA